UUUGCAGAUACGGUGACAUGGUACCCAAGACCAUCGUGGGGAAGGUGUUUGGUUCCAUCUGUUCUCUGAGCGGGGUGCUGGUCAUCGCCCUGCCUGUCCCCGUCAUCGUGUCCAAC
rfam:Salmo salar isolate Sally breed double haploid chromosome ssa10, whole genome shotgun sequence.